GCCUGGGUGGCUCAGUUGGUUAAGCGCCCGACUUCAGCUCAGGUCAUGAUCUCACAGUUGGUAGGUUGGAGCACGAGUUCGAGCCCCGUGUCAGGCU
rnacentral:tRNA from 1 species